GAUGAGUUCUCCCUGAGACUAUAAGUCUCCUGAAGGAACGUUGAAGACGACGACGUUGAUAGGCCGGGUGUGUAAGCGCAGCGAUGCGUUGAGCUAACCGGUACUAAUGAACCGUGAGGCUUAACCUU
rnacentral:rRNA from 2 species